GGGCCUGUAGCUCAAAGGAUUAAAGCACGUGGCUACGAACCACGGUACCGGAGGUUGGAAUCCCUCCAUGCUCA
rnacentral:tRNA from 1 species